AUUGAACGCUGGCGGCAGGCCUAACACAUGCAAGUCGAGCGGAUGAAGGGAGCUUGCUCCUGGAUUCAGCGGCGGACGGGUGAGUAAUGCCUAGGAAUCUGCCUGGUAGUGGGGGAUAACGUCCGGAAACGGGCGCUAAUACCGCAUACGUCCUGAGGGAGAAAGUGGGGGAUCUUCGGACCUCACGCUAUCAGAUGAGCCUAGGUCGGAUUAGCUAGUUGGUGGGGUAAAGGCCUACCAAGGCGACGAUCCGUAACUGGUCUGAGAGGAUGAUCAGUCACACUGGAACUGAGACACGGUCCAGACUCCUACGGGAGGCAGCAGUGGGGAAUAUUGGACAAUGGGCGAAAGCCUGAUCCAGCCAUGCCGCGUGUGUGAAGAAGGUCUUCGGAUGGUAAAGCACUUUAAGUUGGGAGGAAGGGCAGUAAGUUAAUACCUUGCUGUUUUGACGGUACCAACAGAAUAAGCACCGGCUAACUUCGUG
rnacentral:rRNA from 1 species